rnacentral:tRNA from 1 species
UCCCUGGUAGCCUAGUGGUUAAGGGCUCAGCAUUGUCAUUGCUGAUGCUUGAGUUACUGUUGUGGCUCAGGUUCGAUCCCUGGCCCAGGAA